rnacentral:misc_RNA from 1 species
AGGAAUCUGCAGGAGGCUACUCAGGAAUGUUGAUGAAUUGAAGGAUUUCAAGAACGAAAUGAAGGAAGAAUUAAACAAGUCUUCUUUGAAUAAUAAUGUUAUUCUGGAAGAAUUGCGAGCCCUCAUAGUCACUCAUGUUGUGGAGAAGAACAAGGGAAGCAGUAGCUCAAGUGAAGGGGGUAGCAGAGUCGAAAAUAAGGGAUUACCAACCAACCCUGUAGUUCCAACAACACUUGUAAUUCAGUCAGUCCCUGUAAUCCGGUCAGUUCCUAUGGAUAAUAGGGGGUUGUUACCUAACCCUAACAUAGAAGGUAUGUCUCAAUUGUUGCCUAAGAUUGAGUUAGUUACUUUGGAAGGUAAAGAACUUAGGGCGUGGUUGAGGAAGUGUGUGAAGUAUUUUGAGGUGUAUAAGGUGCGUAAGGAUUAAAGGAAGCAAUUAGUAAGCCUUUCCAUAAUUGGGAUAAGGGGAAAAUCAUUCUUGGGAACAAUUUAAGAGGGCAAUGUUAUGUAUCAAAUCUGCACUUAAUCCAGAAACAGAGA